GACCUGACUGCUAUCGGAUUGAUACUAAGCCAUGCGAGUCAUUGUAGCAAUACAAGGCAUACGGCUCAGUAACGCGUAGUCAACCUAACCUAUGGACGGGAAUAACCUCGGGAAACUGAGAAUAAUGCCCGAUAGAACAUUAUACCUGGAAUGGUUUAUGUUCCAAAUGAUUUAUCGCCGUAGGAUGGGACUGCGGCCUAUCAGUUUGUUGGUGAGGUAAUGGCCCACCAAGACUAUUACAGGUACGGGCUCUGAGAGGAGUAGCCCGGAGAUGGGUACUGAGACACGGACCCAGGCCCUAUGGGGCGCAGCAGGCGAGAAAACUUUGCAAUGUGCGAAAGCACGACAAGGUUAAUCCGAGUGAUUUCUGCUAAAGAAAUCUUUUGUUAGUCCUAGAAACACUAACGAAUAAGGGGUGGGCAAGUUCUGGUGUCAGCCGCCGCGGUAAAACCAGCACCUCAAGUGGUCAGGAUGAUUAUUGGGCCUAAAGCAUCCGUAGCCGGCUCUGUAAGUUUUCGGUUAAAUCUGUACGCUUAACGUACAGGCCGCCGGGAAUACUGCAAAGCUAGGGAGUGGGAGAAGUAGACGGUACUCGGUAGGAAGUGGUAAAAUGCUUUGAUCUAUCGAUGACCACCUGUGGCGAAGGCGGUCUACUAGAACACGUCCGACGGUGAGGGAUGAAAGCUGGGGGAGCAAACCGGAUUAGAUACCCGGGUAGUCCCAGCUGUAAACUAUGCAAACUCAGUGAUGCAUUGGCUUGUGGCCAAUGCAGUGCUGCAGGGAAGCCGCUAAGUUUGCCGCCUGGGAAGUACGUACGCAAGUAUGAAACUUAAAGGAAUUGGCGGGGGAGCACCACAAGGGGUGAAGCCUGCGGUUCAAUUGGAUUCAACGCCGG
rnacentral:rRNA from 1 species